rnacentral:lncRNA from 1 species
CGUUAACUUCCUCAAGAGUGUCCAUUCCAAAGGUACACAUAAUAACUCCAAUAAGAAAUAUAGAUGGACUUUUGCUUAUGGUAAGUAACAUCGUUUCUAUAUUUUAUCUUUUUUAUCUUUCUGAAUUCUACAAUAUUUACUUAUCUAUUUAUUUUUAAAAAUACCUAUUAUUAAUUCAUCCUUAUUUUGUUAACACAACAAAGCUAUUUUUGGUUAAAAG